UGGGGAAUAUUGGACAAUGGGGGGAACCCUGAUCCAGCCAUGCCGCGUGUGUGAAGAAGGCCUUAUGGUUGUAAAGCUCUUUAAGCGAGGAGGAGGGUACUGGUAUUAAUACUACCAGGUACUGGACGUUACUCGCAGAAUAAGCACCGGCUAACUCUGUGCCAGCAGCCGCGGUAAUACAGAGGGUGCGAGCGUUAAUCGGAUUUACUGGGCGUAAAGCGUGCGUAGGCGGCUAAUUGAGUCGGAUGUGAAAUCCCCGAGCUUAACUUGGGAAGUGCAUUCGAUACUGGUUAGCUAGAGUGUGGGGGAGGAUGGUAGAAUUCCAGGUGUAGCGGUGAAAUGCGUAGAGAUCUGGAGGAAUACCGAUGGCGAAGGCAGCCAUCUGGCCUAACACUGACGCUGAGGUACGAAAGCAUGGGGAGCAAACAGG
rnacentral:rRNA from 1 species